rnacentral:miRNA from 14 species
AAUACAGCAUGCUCAUUUAAUUUGGAUUUCAGAUAAACAAUGAGUCCUGUUUUAGAAUAAGUAUGUCCCAUGGAAAAUAUGGGACAUACUUAUACUAAAAAAAUGCCUUGUUUUUCUGAAAUGCAAAUUCAGGUGGGCAUCCUGUUUUUU